AGCAGCAGUUUUCAUUCUGGUCGGUUCAAACAGCUAGGGUUUGUUUCACCUUUUUCUUAGAGGGAGAGAGGACGGAGAUACAAGAAACAAUUGCCCCUAUUCAUCCCAGAGUUUGGUGAUAAAAAAACAUAUUCUCAAGUAGAAUUCGAUGAAAUUAGAGGAGAAUGAGCUACUUUUGUGCUACAACUAAUCAUUAAUCAUGUUGAUGCAUCAUGAUCACCAUGCAUGGUGAGUCCAUUAGCUACUACAUGAAUUUUUCCACAGGUAUACAAUAUUGGGAGGGUGGAAUGGAGA